rnacentral:tRNA from 1 species
GCCUGGGUGGCUCAGCGGUUGAGCGUCUGCCUUCAGCUCAGGGCAUGAUUCCAAGGUCUUGGGAUCGAGUCCCAUUUCUGGCU